ensembl:lncRNA
GGGGAUUUUUGAAGAAAAAAGGCACGAUUUUCGGGUUAAAUGGAGAUUUUCCAAGGGAAAAGGCAUGAUUUUCGGUUAAAUGGGGGAUUUUCCAGAGUAAAAAUGCUUGGCUUUCAGGUUAAAGCGGGGAUACUCUCAGAUAAAAUGCGUGAUUUCUGGGUUGAAUGUUUUUUUUUUUUUUUUUUUUUCCGUUUAGAGAAAAGUGGUGAUUUUUGAUUGUGUAUUUUCCCAAGAGAAAAUGCAUGGUUUUUGGAUUAGACGGGGGAUUUUUGAAGAGAAAAUGCGUGACUUUCGGGUUAGAUCAGGGAUUCUUGUAGAGAAAUUGCAUCGUUUUCGGGUUAAAUGUGGGGGGAUUUCUGAAGAGAAAUGGCGUUUUUUCGGGUUAAAUGGGGUUUUUUGAAGAGAAAAUGCAUGAUUUCGUUUACAUGUGAGAUUGUUGUAGAGGAAAUGCAUGAUUUUGGGGUAAAAUGAGGGAUUCUCGUAGCGAAAAUGUUUGAUUUGGGGGUUAAAUGGGGGAUUUUUCAAGAGAAAAAGCGUGAUUUUCAAGUUAAAAGGGUGAUUUUCCAAGAGAAAAUGCGUGAUUUUCGGGAUUAAUGGGGGAUUCUCGAAGAGAAAAUGCGUGAUUUUGGGGUUAAAUGGGGUAUUUUUUCCAAGAGAAAGUGCAUGAUUUUCGGGUUAAUGGGGGAUUUCCGAGAGAAAUUGUGUUUUCAUCAGGUUAAAUGGGGGAUUCUCAAGAGAAAAUGCAUGAUUUGGGGGGUAAAUGCGGGAUUUUCCAAGUGAAUAUGCGUGAUUUGGGGUUAAAUGGGGGAUUUUGGAAGCGAAAAUGCAUGUUGUUUGAGAUAAAC